rnacentral:rRNA from 1 species
CAGCCGCCACGGGAAUACGGAGGGUGCAAGCGUUAUCCGGAUUUAUUGGGUUUAAAGGGUCCGUAGGCGGAUCUGUAAGUCAGUGGUGAAAUCUCACAGCUUAACUGUGAAACUGCCAUUGAUACUGCAGGUCUUGAGUAAAUUUGAAGUGGCUUGAAUAAGUAGUGUAGCGGUGAAAUGCAUAGAUAUUACUUAGAACACCAAUUGCGAAGGCAGGUCACUAAGAUUUAACUGACGCUGAUGGACGAAAGCGUGGGGAGCGAACAGGAUUAGAUACCCCCGUAGUCCCUGUCUCUUAUAC